UGUGCCAGCAGCCGCGGUAAUACGAAGGGUGCAAGCGUUACUCGGAAUUACUGGGCGUAAAGCGUGCGUAGGUGGUUGUUUAAGUCUGUUGUGAAAGCCCUGGGCUCAACCUGGGAAUUGCAGUGGAUACUGGGCGACUAGAGUGUGGUAGAGGGUAGUGGAAUUCCCGGUGUAGCAGUGAAAUGCGUAGAGAUCGGGAGGAACAUCCAUGGCGAAGGCAGCUACCUGGACCAACACUGACACUGAGGCACGAAAGCGUGGGGAGCAAACAGGAUUA
rnacentral:rRNA from 1 species